GCGAGGGUGGCAGAGCAUGGUCAAAUGCGCAAGACUGAGGAUGAAAAUCAGAACUCUUGUGCCUUUAGUGGCUGCGUGAGUUCAAAUCUCACCCCUCGCA
rnacentral:tRNA from 1 species